UGGUGGAGUGAUUUGUCUGGUUAUUAACGAACGAAACCUUUACCUGCUAAAUAAUUGUAUGUAGCCUCGGUUACUUGGGCAACUUCUUUAAAGGACUUUACGUGUCUAACGUAAGGACGUUUGAAGCAAUAACA
rnacentral:rRNA from 1 species